rnacentral:rRNA from 1 species
UACGUAGGCAGCGAGCGUUGUUCGGAGUUACUGGGCGUAAAGAGUGCGUAGGCGGUUUUCUAAGUUUGGUGUGAAAUCUCCCGGCUUAACUGGGAGGGUGCGCCGAAAACUGGAAGGCUUGAGUAUGGGAGAGGUAAGCGGAAUUCCUGGUGUAGCGGUGAAAUGCGUAGAUAUCAGGAGGAACACCUGCGGUGUAGACAGCUUACUGGACCAUAACUGACGCUGAGGCACGAAAACGUGGGUAGCAAACAGG